UCCCAAUCCGUUGCAAUUGGCUUUUCGACCUGCAAUGAAGAUAUAAAUUUAUGGACAGUGCUCUCAAGUAAUCUCAAGGUAGACAAACAGAAAGAAGGUAUGAAUAGACGUGAGGACUCCAUGGCUACAAAUUUUCAUGCAUAUGUUCUAGUUUGUUGGCAAUUGUUGACUCAGAAAUGAACUAGUGAGAAACUGUCAAGCAGGUGAUCAUACCACGGCAGACUGUCUCACAUUUGGGUGAGUUGCAGUCCAGAAAGCAUCCUUUGGCUUUUGGGUCCGAUGGUUUUGCAACCGGGCACUCCUUCGGGCAUCCAACCUGCUU
rnacentral:lncRNA from 1 species